AGCCCAACGUGGGGCUCAGUUUAACCACCCUGAGAUCAUGACCUGAGCUGAAAUCAAGAGUCAGAUGCUUCACCAACUGAGCUGCCCAGGCACCCCUCAAUUAUAAUUUUUAGUGGAGAAGCAAAGGGUGGCUCUCUAAUUUAUGGGACUCCUUAGCUUACGUAAAAAGCUGCAGGAAGUAACUGCAUUGCAGGGAUGAUUAGUUUGUGGGAAUCUACUGUUUGUUCUGCCCAUUUAGUUAACAUCCUUCCAAAGAGACAUGGCAUAAAAAUGGAAGAAACUAUUAUACAUUUUGAUAUGGAGUGUGUUUAACAGACAAAAUGUGGUUCGCAGAGUAGAAUGCUAAGCUAAAGACCCAAGUUUCUACUACGACUGUCAUCAUCUCAUGGAUCCUAUUUUCACCUUUCUGUACUUUCCUAUUUCUUUUUAUAAAAAAGCACUAGUGAUCAUUUUUGACACUUUCCUUACUCAGAGGUAACAAAAGGAUGCUACAGUGAAUGUUUAAGUAUCUUGAGCUCCUUAAAUAAAAGGUGCUAAAUAAACACAUUAAGAAUCUACCUUCAGAAAAAGGUAGUAUUCUUUCUCACCCUGAUCCCUACGGUCGAUAUUGAUCCAAAGACAAUUAAGUGGUAGAAAUGUAUGGCAAAUAGAAGUCUGUGUCUAUGUAUUACAGAGAUGUAUAUGACAGAUGUAAACAGAAUAAAAUGAAGACAAUAAUGAAAAAUUGUUUGGGGAAUGUGAUAAAGAGAUUAUUAAACUCAGAGUUCACCAUAAAAAAAAUUUUUUUCAUGGUUGCUUGAACAGGGCUCUUUGCAAAAUAAUUGAUGUGACUUAUUUCUGCUCUCUGUGGUCUGCUGUGGUGUCAGAUGUUGGUUAUAUUGUUUCUUUUCGGUGGAACCCUCAGCAACAGAGUUGGGACAGAAAAGGCUUUGCUUUGAUGAUAUAUCGACUGUUGAUCUCCUAAGAAAUUCUUUAAAAUACAGGUUGGCUGUGCAGUGAAAGAGUGGAAAGGGAAGUGGAGUAUAGGGUCUCCCGCCCACAUUUACCUCCACUACCUGAAGAAGGCAGAAUGCAUUUCUCUCUCUACCUUAUUGCCUUUUCCGGAAUGUCAUCUGAAUGGAAGCCAUUUGAGUUUGGCUUCUAGCAUAACACCCUUGGGCUGCAUCCCAGUUGUUGGGGGUAUCCGAAGUUGGCUCAUUCUGAUCGCUGAUGCACCACCGUUUAUCUAUUCACCAACCUUCAGAUUCCUUCCAAUGUGGGGCAAUGACAAAUAAAGUUGCUCUAAAAACUUGA